rnacentral:rRNA from 1 species
AACGAACGCUGGCGGCAUGCCUAACACAUGCAAGUCGAACGAGACCUUCGGGUCUAGUGGCGCACGGGUGCGUACCGCGUGGGAACCUGCCCUUAGGUUCGGAAUCACUCCCCGAAAGGGGUGCUAAUACCGGUUAAUGUCAUCGGACAAAAGAUUUAUCGCCUUUGGAUGGGCCCGCGUUGGAUUGGCUAGUUGGUAGGGUAAAAGCCUACCAAGGCGACGAUCCAUAGCUGGUGUGAGAGGAUGAUCAGCCACACUGGGACUGAGACACGGCCCAGACUCCUACGGGAGACAGCGGUGGGGAGUAUUGGACGAGGGGCGAAAGCCUGAUCCAGCAAUGCCGCGUGAGUGAUGAAGGCCUUAGGGUUGUAAAGCUCUUUUACCCGGGAUGAUAAUGACAGUACCGGGAGAAUAAGCACCGGCUAACUCCGUG